CCCGUAUAAUGUCUUUUUCGUCGUUAUUCCUCAUCCAAGGACCAUCGUUCUUCAUCUUUCGAGAAGCCGAGAAUAAAAAACGACCACCCUCAACACACCAUAUCCAAUUCCCCUCUCCAUACCCAUCAACGACCCCUCUCCAUUACAUUUAGAAAACGAGAAAAAUAGCAAAAAGUCAUCGCCCACAUCACCAACGAGAUCCCCUGAUCUCUCGGGUACCAACCAAUAGAAGCUUUCAUUUGAGUCGCGUUUCAGUUUCCUUGUCUUCGAUCAACUGAAUAUCGAAGUUGAGAUGCUUGAAAUUUCGGACAACAAGGUCUACAUCUUAUUCCGUCAAAGUUCGAGUGUCGUCCAAUGAGAUUCCGCCUCAUCGAGUUCCUGAACUGUUUUUCUUAUUUGCUCUUGGAUUACCUACUUGAAAGCUCAUUAUUUUGUUCAAGGUUUUCUUCUUCCUCCAUUUCUUUUCGUUCCACUUAUGUGAUAAAUCGCUGCUUCAGUUGUGAUAUAAGUUUAAUGUGAAUUUGAGACUUGUGUUUGCCUGAUUCUUUGCAUCUGAUCCUCUGUAGUAUUUUUACUGAUUUUCGACUAUAUGUGAUGAAAUAUUUUCAUGAAUCAUUCUCCAGAUGCUUGGAUCAUAUGUUGUUCAAACAUAUCGUUGUGAGAGUUGCUAAUGUGGUCUUUGUGAAUACAUAUUGUGUGUUUGAGUUUUUUUUGUUUUAAUUAGUUACCAUUUUUUAUUCGUUCCUUCAUUUUCAGUUCGAAAUAUGUGCAAGCUAAGUUAUGUCAUUUUCUGUUUGUUAGUAGUUUAGGAAAAACUCGUUCUUGGCCUGUUACUUUGUAGCUAGCUAGUAUAAUAAACCAUAAACUUUUGAUGUUAUGGGUUAAUUGGCAAGGUAAAUAUUGUUUUCCCUUUUAUUGCUGCAUUACUUCAUCUUGGCCUUUAAUUUUCUUUGUGCUAUUUGUAAAUACCAUCACGCAUUACUGUUAAAGCCAGAAUACGAAGAGAUGGGGGUAUUUGUUUUUCAUGGAAUGUGCUUGUGUUUAUUUCAUUUGGACUAAAAAUAUUAUUUGUACUAACUUAUGAUUGUUCAAUGUCUUAACUGCAAGCUAUAUUUAUUCAAUUCACUCCUACCACAGCCAGGUAGGCGAACCUUUAGGCAGGUAAUUAGAUCAUCACAACAACGGGUUUAGUUUUCAUGACAUGGUUGUGAUACUUGAUCUCAAAUUAGUUGUAAAAGUGAAUAUCCAUAGUCUAUUUAGUUGAAUGAACUUCCUUCAAUUAAUCGAAGUGCGUCAUGCCAAACAAAAUUGAAAAAUUGUGUGGCCUUUUUAAUUGCUCCUUUAAAAUAAUUAGAACUCGAGAAAGCCAUUUAGCUAUUUUUCUUGGCCCUCAUAAUAUUAACAACGCGUUAGUUGCUUUAGGGCGCGUUAUUUAAUAAUUUUUCCUUCGUAAACUCGAGUUCAAAUUUAUGUGACCCAAAUCCAAAUCUCGACGAUGCUAAAAUAUGUCUAAAACUACAGGUGCAUUAACAUGACGUGGUUCGAGACAUGUUUUGAUAACGUUGCAAUCUUCUAAAAAUUAAAUAAAAAUGAUUAAUGUCAAAAUUUGCACAUACGUUCAUAAUUAUUAAAAUCAGAUAACCAAGCCAAGUAUAAAAUUUGAGUGACCGUGCUAGAACAACAGAACUCAAGAGUUCCUAACACCUUAUCCCUGGUUAACAGAAUUCUAUACCCUGAUUUCUGGCUCGCAGACUGUAUAUAGAGUCAAAACUUCCUUGAUUCGGGAUUUAAACCAGUGUCUUGGGACACCAUAGAUUAUCCCAAGUGGUGACUCUAAAUUUAUUAAAUAAAUAGAUCUCGUUUAGAUUGUCCUUUAACUGAAAAAACUCAUUUAUCUACGCCCAUCAUUUAAAAAAGAUUUGUGACAGCUCUGGCGACACUGCUAGGGAUUAGUACCUAGAAUUUCUAGUUUAGGGUUCAAGAAUUCGAGCAUAGAAUAACUGUUGUAUUUGCCUUUGUUUAUUAUCUGAUUUUAUUACAUGUUUUGGCCUGAUGUGCUAAAUGUUGCGUUUUUACCGCUUUGAUAUUAUCUGAACUGUACAUAUAAAUUACUACGAAACCCAUCUCUUUUCUCUUCGAGGAUGUGCUCGCUGAUCGAGACUCCCUAUUCUGUUACUGUCAUACCUUAGAAUAAGAAAGAGGCUCUGACAACUUACAAAGCCGGAUGGCCUUUUGGUUCCCGGUACAUAACCCCCUUCUCAACUCGAGUUGUCUGCUCGGGCACACAGUCUAAAACAUAUAUCCAUAUUUUGAACCUAGAAUAACUUAAUCUCAUGUCGGAGCCCUAUUAGGAGUGGUUAUUUGCAUCAUGUAUUUGACUUGGGGACUCAACACAGGGGUUAGGUCCGUCGAGGACAGGUGCACCCAAAAUAAAAGACCAUCUUGAUGCAUCUUAUGUGUUGCGAGUUGCAUUUAUUCGAGGGAAAAACGUCAUUUGACGGACAAAUGAAAGCAGAGGGAAUAUGAAAAAAAAAGAAAUAGGGAGAAGUGAAGUAUAAAAAUAAAGAAAGUACGGCUCGAUUAUAUUAUCUGUCACAUUUUUUAAAAAGAAAAAGAAAAAAAGAGCAUGAAAAAUUCAAAAAAUUGUACUUUUUUCUAUCAUUUUACAAAAAUAAAAAAUAAAAGAAAAGGGCAAAAGAAAAUUUAAAAAGUGUUUACAUGUUUCAUUAAUAUUUUUCAAAAAAAGGGACAAAAAAUAUUUUCUCAAAAAUUUAGCUGUUUUUUAUUCUAGCCCGCUCGAACUACGCAUACCUGAUUCUUGUCUUUUGGACGGUGAUACAUAGGCAAACCACAUAGGGUCCGUCUUCCUAGUAAAUCUUAGGUUCUUGCCUUUGCGGGGAUUUAGCCAUGUUUUGCACUUCUACCCACCUUUUGGCUAAAUAGGUCAUUUUGCAAAAUAAUCACAGCCUUAUCUUGCAUAUGUCAAAUAGGGAAUGUUUAUUGUUUUACAUAGUGUUAGUUUAUGUUUUCUCAUACAGGUGCAGAUUUACCUACAGGAGUUUGAGCAUGACAGAUGCCCCAGGAUCACUGCACUCUGGAGCCGCCCGAGGAGACA
rnacentral:lncRNA from 1 species